rnacentral:rRNA from 1 species
AAUGAACGCUGGCGGUAUGCCUAACACAUGCAAGUCGAACGACAGCACAGGAAGUGCUGGCUCUUACGUGUGGCGAGUGGCGGACGGUGGAGUAAGACAUCGGAAUAUACUGUGUCAUGGGGGCUAACGUAGGGAAACGUACGCUAAUAACACAUACAACAUACGAGGAUAAGCCGGCGUUCGUCUGACCUUUCGCGGUGGAAUGGGCCGAGGUAGGAUUAGCUAGUUGGCUGGGUAAAGGGACACCCAGGCUACGAUCCGUAGCGGGUAUGAGAGGAUCAUCCGUCACACUGGCACUGAGACACGGUACCGACUCCGACGGUAGGAAGCAGCGGGGAAUACUGGACAAUGGGGGCAAGGCUGAUAUAGCCAUACCGGGUGGGUGCAGAACGAGUUCGGCUUCUAAAGCGAUUAUGUUCGGAAAGAAAUGCAGCAGGUUUAUACCCCGAUGUUCUGACGGUACCCAAAGAAUAAGCCCCGGCUAACUCCGUG